rnacentral:lncRNA from 1 species
ACGCAUCUGCUGCUCCCUGGCAUGGGGCUGCACUUCGACGACUGCCGCGGGGACGACGACCACCCCAGGCACUUGCGCUCCCCGACGUGGUCACGAACGCGAGCUGCCCUGCUCCCGCUGGGGUGCUUGGAGCUCAGCGCCGUUCUCCUAGUCAGUGCUUUGCUCGGUAAUGCCCAGCCCCAGAAUUCUUCCAUUUCUAAGAUUUUUUUGUUCUAGCGCUGCAUACUGUUGGAAAUAUGAGCAAAAUACUACGAGAUUUAAUCCGAAUGAACAGAAGAUAAAUCAUGACUACAGUAGCAGAGAUUGAACUAAUCAUGCGAACUAGCAUAGUAGAUGAACAGAUCACAUCUAGGGCACAUACUAGAAACAUGAAUUCUACCACGAUCUCGAACAGGAAGGAUAGAAUCACAUACGGUGCAGCAGGAGUAGCAUUGCCAGCGUUGACGUUGUCACCCAUGUCGUCGAGGAUGAGGUUGCCGAGGUCGGGGAAGAAAUUGUUGUUCGCGAAGUCGUCACUGCCAGCGCGCGAGUGCACUCCCCAAAAACCUGAUCACCCCUCUCCCGUACAGGAUCACGAGAGGCGGGGUUCCGGAGGCCUGCUGUCCCUUCUCCCGGUGCACGGCGAAAGGAGGGAUGGAGAAGACUUGCUUGGCGGCGCAAUGAUCUGGAACGGUGGUGAGAAACCAUACGAAGCGGCGGCGGCUAGGGUAGACGUCUGCCUGACUAUAUAGUGCGGGCCGGGUAGGUCAUGGGAGUAAACCCCACGUCCGAGUCGUCACGAUCCAAAAGAAUCGUAAACGGUUCAGUAAUUAACGCGUUCGUUAAUUAUUAAUUAAUGACUCAUUAAUUUUUUCCGAGCAGCAAAAUAUAUAGACAACGUGCAUAGCUCUGUCCUCGGCUCAAUCCCGCAACCCGCGGCGCGUCAUGACGAGGCGUGGCGUGGCGAGCGAGGAGGAGGAGCGCGUGUAGGUCUCCUCUUCUCAUGCUCAUACAAGUGGUAGAAGAGCUCACCUUAUAAAGAGGUGCAACUCUCUCUCAACUUAUGAGGUGGGACUAAACUUUAGCCUCACUCACUCCACUCACAUGUGUGCAUGAAUGGGCCAAGAGAAUUUCAGAAUCUUAGUUGGGCUUUGGGCCAAAAGCCCACUAGCAAAUUCCAACAAUCCCCCACAAAGUCUCAUUGGCACAUCUCACCAUUUGGUUCCAAAACAUUGUUUAUAUACCGGUGCUUAGUGGAGACUGUGAAGUUGAACUUCCACUUAGAGAUUUAUGCUACACUAGAUCACAACUUGAAUAGUGGACUAUGCCUUGAACUACAAGUUUUCUGCGAGACUAGUUUCACACAAAUUCUUGACCGAUACUGGGCUGCCGCAAGGCUUCCCCGCGGGUGGAGCGUAUACGUCGUACUCCAGGGCCUUUUCAUGAAUUUAUUAGAGAACACCCAAUUCUCACAUACUGCGACGUUAACAGUCAAAUUCAUAUAGGUGUGUUCCUCACAAGAUGUUCUGCAGGACAACAUCUCUGCUUACCCGAAUAAGCCACUUGGAACACAUUAAGAUAAGUAUCAACCUGCCAUGCAGAUCAGGAGAGUAUUGCAUCUUCACGGAGUGGGAUAGUUAAUAUAGGGAUACUCUCCUCCUAGCUGACCAACAGCUUGUCUCCCACUUCUACUUCACGGGAUCUCCGAUCACAUAGAGUGGGUUACCACUAUGGACAACUCAUGCGGUGGGUCUCAGACCCAUCUCCAUCGAUGCAUUAUCUAUCACAUUACGUGAUAGACCCUUUGUGAAGGGAUCUGCCAAAUUUUUCGACGUUUGGAUAUAAUCCAACGUAAUAACUCCGGAGUUCCUCAAUUUCCUGACAGAUUUUAGUCUCCUUUUCACAUGCCUUGAGGACUUCAUAUUGUCCUUAGAACUGUUUAUCUUGACGAUCACAGUUUGAUUAUCACAGUUCAUCAGGAUAGGGGGUAUUGGUUUUUCAACCAUAGGUAAGUCCAUCAAGAGCUCACGAAACCACUCUGCUUCAACAGUGGCAGUGUCUAAUGCUGUGAGUUCUGCUUCCAUAGUUGACCUCGUUAAGAUGGUCUGCUUGCAAGACUUCCAAGAAACAGCACCACCACCAAGUGUAAAAAUAUAACCACUUGUGGCCUUAAUCUCAUCAGCAUCAGAUAUCCAGUUUGAGUCACUAUAACCCUCCAGUACCCUUGGAUACCCGGUGUAGUGAAUCCCAUAACUCGCGGUGCCUUUCAAAUAGCGCAUAACUUUCUCAAGCGCAUGCCAAUGAUCAUCUCCCAGUUUUGACACAAACCGACUCAGCUUGCUAACAGCAAACGAGAUGUCAGGCCUCGUGGCACUCGCCAAAUACAUAAGCGAGCCAAUAAUUUGAGAAUACAUCAGUUGAUCUCUAGCAAUCCGUCGAUUCUUUCGAAGCAACACACUAGCAUCAUAUGGAGUUGGAGAAGGCGUACAGUCGCUAUACCCAAAACGACUCAAAACCUUUUCCACAUAGUGAGACUGAAGCAGUGUGAUCCCACCAUUCUCAUCUCUCAACAGCUUGAUGUUUAAGAUAACAUCAGCUACUCCUAGAUCCUUCAUCUCAAAACAGCGAGAUAAGAAAUCCUUAACCUCCUUGAUUAAAUCAAGUUUGGUUCCAAAGAUCAGUAUGUCAUCGACAUACAGACAAAGAAUAACUCCUUCGCCCCCACCAUGGCGAUAGUACACACACUUGUCACCAUCGUUUACUACAAAGCCGGCAGCAGUUAACAUUCUUUCGAACUUCUCAUGCCACUCCUUAGGAGCUUGUUUAAGGCCAUAUAAAGACUUUAAUAACUUGCACACCUUUCCUUCCUGACCAGGUACUACAAAACCAUCUAGCUGAUCCAUGUAAAUUUCCUCCUUCAACUCUCCAUUGAGGAAAGCCGUCUUAACGUCCAUUUGAUGAACGAGAAGACCAUGUGAGGCAGCCAGUGAUAGUAGCACCCGAAUUGUGGUCAGUCUAGCCACGGGUGAGUAAGUAUCAAAGAAGUCUUCACCUUCUUUCUGGGUAUAACCCUUGGCCACAAGUCGUGCCUUGUACUUUUCAAUCGUACCAUCAGGUCUAAACUUCUUCUUGAACACCCACUUACAUCCUACAGGUUUGCACCCAUAAGGACGGUCGGUGAUCUCCCAGGUACCGUUAGCUAAGAUGGAAUCCAUCUCUCUACGAACAGCUUCCUUCCAGUAGUCAGCAUCAGGAGAUGCAUAGGCUUCUGAAAUAGUCCUGGGUGUGUCAUCCACAAGGUACACAAUGAAAUCAUCACCAAAGAACUUUGCAGUCCUUUGUCUCUUACUCCUCACAGGAGUUCCAUUGUCACCCUCAAUAGGAUUCUCAACGUGUUCCAUCGCAAUGGUGGGUUCAGGAAUUACAGCGAAUUCCUCACUAGAUGGAGUAGGUAUCUCCUGGUUUGAUGAACUCGACAUAUCCUUCAUAGGAAAUAUGUCCUCAAAGAAAGUCGCAUCAUUCGACUCCAUAAUCGUACCAACAUGCAUGUCGGAUACCUUAGAUUUUAUUAUCAAAAAUCUAUAGCCAACGCUAUGAAAAGCAUAGCCUAGAAGAACACAAUCCACGGUUUUUGGUCCAAGCUUGCGCUUCUUGGGAAUUGGUAUAUUGACUUCCGCCAAACAACCCCAAGUACGUAGGUAAGAGAGUUUCAAUCUUUUCCUUUCCCAUUCCUCAAAUGGAUUCAUGGUAUUAUGCUUUGUGGGAACUCGAUUUAGGACAUGACAUGCAGUCAUUAGCGCCUCCCCCCACCAUUCCUUGGAAAGACCCGAUGUGUCUAACAUGGUGUUAACCAUAUCAGUUAGAGUUCGGUUCUUUUUUUUGGCUACCCCAUUUGACUGAGGUGAGUAGGGAGGCGUCCUCUCAUGGAUUAUACCAUGUUCCGCACAAAACAAAUCAAAUUCAUUGGAAUAAUACUCUCCACCACGAUCGGACCUAAGCCGUUUAAUUUUUCGAUCAAGUUGGUUCUCUGCCUUAGAUUUAUAGUUUUUGAAGAAAGUUAAAGCCUCAUCUUUUGAUUUCAGAAGAUACACAUAACAAUAUCUAGUGGAGUCAUCAAUCAACGUCAUGAAGUAUCUCUUUCCACUUUUUGUCAACACGCCAUUCAUCUCACAAAGAUCAGAAUGUAUAAGCUCUAGUGGCGCCAAGUCUCUUGCCUCUGCAGUCUUAUGGGACUUGCGAGGUUGCUUAGCUUGCACACAUACUUGGCACUUAGAGCCUUUGACAGUAGAGAUUUUCAGAAUUAAAUUCAUAUUGGCUAGCCGCGUCAUGCAACCAAAGUUAAUGUGACAAAGUCGUGAAUGCCAAAUAUCAGACUCAUUAUUGUGGCAAACAUUAUUAAUAACUUUAGUGCAAAUAUCUGACAAAGACAGGCGGAACAAGCCUCCGCUCUCAUAGCCUUUUCCAACAAAUUGUCCAUACUUAGAAAUUACAACUUUAUUGGACUCGAAAACCAACUUAAAACCAUCUCGACAUAAACGGGAACCGCUAACGAGAUUUUUAUUAAUGGACGGCACAUGAUGAACGUUCUUCAGACGCACGGUCUUCCCCGAAGUAAACUUCAGAUCGACCGUACCAACACCUCGAACGAUGGCAUGUGACUCGUUCCCCAUCAGCAUGGGAGAAGUCCCUGUGGCCUGGUAAGAAGAAAACAUGGAGGCGUCAGCACAAACAUGUACAUUGGCACCGGUGUCAAUUAACCAAUCAGGGGAUUGAAAUACUGAAAGGAUGGUAGGAAAAAUACCGUACCAUGAUUCGCGGACUUGCCGCUCUUCUCAUGUUCGCGCUCCUCAAAGCGGUUAGGACACUUUGGAGCCUAGUGAUUAGGAUCACCGCAGACAUGGCAAAGUCCCUUCCCCUUCUUUUGAGAAUUCUUCUUGAAGUUGGUAGAAUGUGAUGGCUUGUUCUUUGUAUCAAACUUCCUUUGCCCUGAGUUUUGUUCUUGUUGUUUUUGAACUUGUUGGGCUGGAAGUUCUUCUUCGGUACCAUGUGGGCACUAGAAGCUCCCUCGGCAACUCGAGCACGUGUGUCCUUUGCUCUCGCCUUCUCUUCAACAUCAAGAGUACCAAUGAGAUCCGCAACGGAAAACUCCUGUCUCUUGUGUUUCAGGGAAGUAGCAAAAUUGUUCCACGAAGGUGGAAGCUUGGCAAUGAUGCCUCCGGUAACAAAUUUGUCCGACAGCACACACUUGAAGUACUCAAGUUCUUUUGCGAGCGACUGUAUCUCAUGAGCCUGCUGUACAACAGAGCGCUCAUCAGUCAUCUUGUAGUCAUAGAAUUGCUCCAUGACGUACAACUCGAUGCCGGCGUCCGAGGCACCAAACUUGGCCUCGAGCGCAGCCCACAUGUCCUUGCCGUUUUCAAACGACAUAUACGAAUCCACAACGGAAUCAUCCAGAACACUCAGAAGAGUGCCUUUAAAGAGAGUAUCGAUCUUCUCAAAAGCUUCCGGUUGUGCUGGAUUAAGAUCGCCCUCAGGCUUGCCCUUGGUGGCGUCAUAGCAGCCCAUGGUCCGAAACUAGUAGACUACUCUCGUGCGCCACCUCUUAUAUUGCGCCCCCUUAAAGGCAGGCGGCUUCAGAUGCGCAGCAAAACCACUCGGAGUAAAUUGCCUAUAAUCAGGUUUUGGAUUGUUGGAAAUAUGAGCAAAUUACUACGAGAUUUAAUCCGAAUGAACAGAAGAUAAAUCAUGACUACAGUAGCAGAUAUUGAACUAAUCAUGCGAACUAGCAUAGUAGAUGAACAGAUCACAUCUAGGGCACAUACUAGAAACAUGAAUUCUACCACGAUCUUGAACAGGAAAGAUAGAAUCACAUACGGUGCAGCGGGAGCAGCACCGUCGGCGUUGACGUUGUCGCCCAUGUCGUCGAGGAUGAGGUUGCCGAGGUCGGGGACGAAAUCAUCGUUCGCGAAGUCGUCGCUGCCAGCAGUCGCGCGAGUGCGCUCCCCAAAAACCUGAUUGCCCCUCUCCCGUACAGGAUCACGAGAGGCGGGGUUCCGGAGGCCUGUUGUCCCUUCUCCCAGUGCACGCCGAAAGGAGGGAUGGAGAAGACUUGCUUGGCGCGCAAUGAUCUGGAACGGUGGUGAGAAACCAUACGAAGUGGCGUGUCACAGCCUGAUUUUUGGCCCUUUCUUUUUCUAUUGUUUUUCUGAGGUUUUUGCUUGAGUUUUCUUUUUCCGUGGCUUUGUGGUAUGGAAACGGAAGAAGAUGACCUCUUCUUUGCUUCCAGAGUGGCUUGUCAACCUCAAAUCCUUCCCUAGACCUUUACAUUUUCAUCCUAGCCCAAAUCCCAAAAUUAUUUUUAUUGGGAAUAUUCCUUUUCUAUUAAAGGAAUGACCCUAAUUGCCCUAGGUUGUGAAGCAACCUAUAUUUCUGUUACUCCUAAAAUUCCCAAAUAAUUCUCAUAAAUUGUUUGGGUCAUAUCUUCCUCAAAUGUGGCAAAAUAUUUCAUUUUCCAUGUUUCCAUCAUGCUCAAUUAAUUCCUUUCCUAUUCUGUCCUGAAUGACAGAUUGUGAAGCAAGUGCCCUCUACCUUUGCCCAAUUGACCCCAAACUUCUUGGACAUCUUUUCAUGUCCAAAUAAUUGCCUCAUGACAAAUUUCAACUUAAUUUUCCUAGUAAAUAUUCCUGAGCAAUUUUUCAAAGUUCCUGUCUGAGGGAAUUGGUUGCGAAGGAAGUACUAGCUAGGUUAAUCCAAUUGAGUUGAAUUUUUGCAUGGUCUUUCAUAUCAUCAAAUAAAAGCUCUCCACAAGAUUUGAGCUCAUGCAAUGCAUCCAUGUGAGCACAGCUUCAAAUCUUUGUUUCUGUCCAAAAUUUCAGUUAAUGAAGCAAGUAUAUUUUAUCUUGCUCCAUGAUACGUCUCCAACGUAUCUAUAAUUUUUGAUUGCUCCAUGCUAUAUUAUCUUCUGUUUUGGACAUUAUUGGGCUUUAUUAUUCACUUUUCUAUUAUUUUUGGGACUAACCUAUUAACCGGAGGCCCAGCCCAGAAUUGCUGUUUUUUUGCCUAUUUCAGAGUUUCGCAGAAAAAGAAUAUCAAACUGAGUCCAAACGGAAUGAAACCUUUGGGAACGUGAUUUUCGGAACGAACAUGAUCCAGGAGACUUGGACCCUAAGUUAAGAAAGCUUCCAGGAAGCCACGAGGUAGGGGGGCGCGCCUACCCCCCCCCAGGCACGCCCUCCACCCUCGUGGGCCCCACGUUGCUCCACCGACGUACUCCUUCCUCCUAUAUAUACCUACGUACCCCCAAACGAUCAGAUACGGAGCCAAAAACCUAAUUCCACCGCCGCAACCUUCUGUACCCACGAGAUCCCAUCUUGGGGCCUGUUCCGGAGCUCCGCCGGAAGGGGCAUCGAUCACGGAGGGCUUCUACAUCAACACCAUAGCCUCUCCGAUGAAGUGUGAGUAGUUUACCUCAGACCUUCGGGUCCAUAGUUAUUAGCUAGAUGGCUUCUUCUCUCUUUUUGGAUCUCAAUACAAUGUUCUCCCCCUCUCUCGUGGAGAUCUAUUCGAUGUAAUCUUCUUUUGCGGUGUGUUUGUUGAGACCGAUGAAUUGUGGGUUUAUGAUCAAGUUUAUCUAUGAACAAUAUUUGAAUCUUCUGAAUUCUUUUACGUAUUAUUGGUUAUCUUUGCAAGUCUCUUCGAAUUAUCAGUUUGGUUUGGCCUACUAGAUUGAUCUUUCUUGCAAUGGGAGAAGUGCUUAGCUUUGGGUUCAAUCUUGCGGUGUCCUUUCCCAGUGACAGUAGGGGCAGCAAGGCACGUAUUGUAUUGUUGCCAUCGAGGAUAACAAGAUGGGUUUUUUUUAUCAUAUUGCAUGAAUUUAUCCCUCUACAUCAUGUCAUCUUGCUUAAAGCGUUACUCUGUUCUUAUGAACUUAAUACUCUAGAUGCAUGCUGGAUAGCGGUCGAUGUGUGGAGUAAUAGUAGUAGAUGCAGGCAGGAGUCGGUCUACUUGUCUCGGACGUGAUGCCUAUAUACAUGAUCAUACCUAGAUAUUCUCAUAACUAUGCUCAAUUAUGUCAAUUGCUCAACAGUAAUUUGUUCACCCACCGUAAAAUACUUAUGCUCUUGAGGGAAGCCACUAGUGAAACCUAUGGCCCUCGGGUCUAUCUUCAUCAUAUUAAUCUUCCAACACUUAGUUAUUUCCGUUGCUUUUUAUUUUACUUUGCAUCUUUAUCAUAAAAAUACCAAAAAUAUUAUCCUAUCAUAUCUAUCAGAUUUUCACUCUCGUAAGUGACCGUGUAGGGAUUGACAACCCCUUAUCGCGUUGGUUGCGAGGAUUUAUUUGUUUUGUGUAGGUGCGAGGGACUCGCGCGUAGCCUCCUACUGGAUUGAUACCUUGGUUCUCAAAAACCGAGGGAAAUACUUACGCUACUUUGCUGCAUCACCCUUUCCUCUUCAAGGGAAAACCAACGCGGUGCCCAAGAGGUAGCACUCCAUUAUGGCUGUAAAUUUUCCUAGGCCUUCUCUUAUUCAUAUAACCUAUCUCCACCCAAUUUGGGCAUAUUUCAUCUAGCCAUUUUCCCUCUAGAAUUUUUGCAAGUUUCUGGUCAGUGGAAAUGUUUGUGAAGGAAGUACCAUUUUGGUUUAUCCAAUUGGUAUGAAACCUUUUGCAGCAUCUUCAUAUGGCCAAAUAACCCUGCCUUGCCAAAUUUUAGCUCAAGUGGAUUCUCCAUUUGAGUGCAUCAUCAUGAUAUUCAGUCUGGACCAGAUUACUUAGUUGUAAAGCAACUAUAUUAAUUAGUGGUCCAAAUCCCUCCACACUUUCCAGUACCGUAGUCCUUCCUAUACUAAUCACCUCAGACAAUCCCAUUUGACCUAAUCAAGUCCCUGUUGAUCACCAGUGCUCAUCCAAAAUUGAUACUGCAAACUUCAGAGGAAAAAUCCCAUCGAUCCAGUGCACCUAUUCCUGAUCUAUCGUUUCCCUCAGCCUCAGUGAUGCAAGGACUCAUCACUAGACAACUCGCUGAAGCCUCUCGCGUCCCCUCCUUGCCGGUCACAGUGGUGACCGUGUCGUUUGUACGCGCUCUGGAUGCAGCAAACGCGCUCUGGCUCCAUCUUGGCGAUGUGCUCGUCCGUUCUCCCCUCGUCUCGACCCGCAGCCUUGUCCAAUAGCCUUCUCGUGAUCGACUGCGUCGCCCUGAGCCCUUGCCCCCUCCGUCUUCUUCUCCGGUGAGCCGUCCCCCUCGCCGCACAGUGCGCGCGCUGUAGCUGACCAUCGUCUUCUCCUCUGUUGGCUUCUUCCUCCCUUGUCCCCGAGCUCCGCUCGUCUCCGUGACCCCUGGCGCCCGUCCGCGUCUCCCCUCGUCGUCCUGCCGCCCCUCCCCGUGACCCUUGACCGCGCGUGCCCGUCGCCGGAGCGCGGACACGUAGCCGCGCGCGUGCCACCUCACCCCCUCGCUGCCCCGGCUAUAUAAGCCCACAACGAGGCCGUUUCUCUUCACCACUCGCCUCCUGCCCCUCCUCUAGCCCCGCCCCACUUCUUGCCCGAGCUCGAGAAGCUCUCGGUGCUCGACAUCGCUGCCAUGGCCGCCGGCCUCCUCCUCCUAAAUUGGGGCGAGCCGAGCCCUCCCUCUCCUCGUAGCCACCAGAGGCCUACUCCAUCGCCCUAGGCCCCUUCCCGUAGCUCCUCCCCUCGCCUACACCACUGGGACGCCGUUUCCGGUUUCGGCCGACACCUCCGUCCGCCGUGGCCGAGGUCGUGCCCGCUCCGGUCAUCCUCGAGGCCCGUGCACCCCCGGAAUGGACGCGCUGCUUCUUCCUGCGCACGACGGUGUGCCGAGCGCCGUGGAUGGUGGCCUGUAGCACCGGCAGUCGUCGCCGGAGCGCUCUGCCUCGCCUCUGCCUCCGCUCAGCGUCGGGAGAUGGAAGAAGGGACGAGGAGGAGAGAGUCAACGCCCGCGGGACCCACCUGGCAGCCACUGCGGCCUGGCCCCGCCUCUGCGUGUGUUGACCCGGACGGCCAGCGUGGAUAAGUGACGGGCCCCACCCCGUGGGACCCGCACGUCAGUGAAACAAGCCGCGACCCCGCCUCUGCUGACUAGAUUAAGUGGAGGCGUAAACACUAAAGUACGUUUUCGCUUUCAGAAAGCGUAUUUUCCAUUUCCUUCAGCCAGAGUUCGUUUUCUCAUACUAAAAGCGUAUUCCUCUCUGUUUCAGCCCAGAAUACGUUUUCUUAGUAAGAAAGCGUAUUCCUAAUUUUGCGCCUCUGGCUUAUCCACUCAGGGACCCGUCUGUGAAUAUUAUUUUUACAGAAAAGUCCCUGAACUUCUACACCUCAUAUCUCCGCAACCGUAACUCCGAUUGAGGUGAAUCCAACGCCUACUUCUUCGUCUCUCCGAGCCCGAACUUUUGGUACCAUUUUCACUAUGUUUUGACAUACUGGAAAUGACCAUUUUUCCCUUGCCCCUAAUCAGCCCCCUCCGAGAGCGAACCCUUUCCGGCGAUUCUUUCCGCGGCUUCACCGCACUUCUCCCCGGAGCCUUCUUCAUCCCUAGGCAAGCCACAACCACCAUUUGCAUGAUAGCCAUGCAGAAGCAUUGGUUUUCAACUUGAAUCUUUAAUAACUGCCUGUUCGUUUUGCUACUGCUGUCGGUAUUUCGGUUAUGCUUAUGGAUCGGUGUUUACCGUCAUGCUAUGUUUUCUUGAACUCUGUUAUUAUGUUCUUCAUGCUAGUAUUACUUUAAUAUUGGCAAUGUUUGGUAGUAGUACAUGUUGGUGAUGGUCUUCGGUGCAUGACUAUCGUCUGUUCUGAGUACCACCGUUAUGCAUGUUUCUUUGCAUCCAGUUGAUUAAAUACUUGCAUGGUAGUUUUAUCGUUAUGUUAUUGCAUGGUAUUUAUUGUUGAUGCUAGUGGUCAUGUUAUUCUAUGAGUAGUGGUCUAGUUGUGAUAUUCAUGCUUGUCAGUAUGCCAUGCUCAUCUGGAUAAAUGAUUAAGUGUUGUUGUUAUGCUUGUUGAUUUUGUUGCACCUCCAUGCUUAUUCUGAUAUCAUGUUCAUGCAUUGUAGUUGUAUCAUGUUAGUUUAUCAUGGCUCAGCAUAUUGCACUCAAGUUUAACCGGAUUAAAUUAAACUUGAACAACUGUUGGCUGAGUCAUGGUGCCACCAUAUCGAUCUGACCAAUGCAACCACGCUUACCCUAUGGGAGGGGUCCUAACUGGGUCUAUUGUCAUGCCUCUCACCGGUGCCUCCCGCGAGGGAAGGUUAUGCGCGGGCGCUACCCUGAUCAGGUAGGAUGGCAUAAUCCUUGUGCGCCCGUUGUUGAAUAUGGAUCCUUGUCCCCGUUUGGGACCGUUUUGCCACGACGGUGGCUGUUGGUGCCUUUGGUAGGCACGGGGCCACCCAGGACUUAGCCCAAAGGGGAGUUGGUCGGAGUGGCCGGGGGGUGUCAUGGCAGUAGGACGAUUUUGUCGGAACGCUUUGGUCCACCCGAAUGGGAGUGCGAGGCCAGGGUUCCGUGGUGUGGGUACAGUGUGCUAACCUCUGCAGAGUGUGUGUGUUUAAUCUAUCGAUAGCCGCGCCCACGGAUAUGGGCUCAGUUCGUAGUUGGUCACACUAUGGGUCAACAGUAAUAAUAAUAUGCUUAAUAACAACCCCGGUUCGAUGAUGAAAGAAGUUGGUUGAUAUUUAUGUGAUCGUAAGAGGAUCACUGUGGUAUCGUGAAUACCGACUUGUUGGAUACUUGUGGUGUUAUGCGAGAGUCAAGGGUAAAGGUCAAGCUCCUUGUGGUCAUGAAUGAUUACUACGGUAUUGUUAAUACCAAGCUUGAUUGGAUCCUGAGAUGAUCAUGUGAUGUCCAUGAUGGUAAGUUUGUGCAGGUGAUGGUUACGAUGUAACCCGAGCAGAGUAAGUUGGUGCAUGAUAGUUUCAUCAUGUUGCAUGCUAGUCUCAUCAUGUUAAUAUGUUUAUGCCAUGCUCGUGUUGUUCUAGCUGUAUCAUCUUGUUCAUGCUAUGAUUGAUCUGAUAGUAUCAUGUUAAUCCUUGUUAACCUGUAAUUGCCAUGCUGUUGUCUGUCUUGAUUGUUUUGGUUGCUGUGAGCUUGCAAGUACAUUCCAUGUACUGACCUGGCGUGUCAUGCCAGUUUGCAGGUCAUGCCGGAUAUGAUUGCUUGUUUGCCGUGGAUCCCUUGUUUGCGCGCUAGGAUAAGCGUUCCAGCCAGAGUCCCUGCGGAGUGGAGUUCACCACCGCCGACGUUGUUCCGGUGCCAGUCGUCAUUCUGCUGCGUCAUGUUGUUCUGCUGCUUGCAUGGAGCAACCGUGGCAGACGUAGUGUCACCGUGCCGAUGUAACCCCCCCUUGUACCCAAUAUAGCUUGAAAUAAAGAGCUGGUUUGUUCUAUGCUAAGCAGUGCCGUAUUCCAGAAGACUUCUCCUCGAUCUCUGGGCUGGAAUACGGGGCGUUCCGGUUUCUCUGAGCCGGGGUGCCACACGGCGGCGGCUAGGGUAGACGUCUGCCUGACUAUAUAGUGCGGGCCGGGUAGGUCAUGGGAGUAAACCCCACGCCCGAGUCGUCACGAUCCAAAAGAAUCGGAAACGGUUCAGUAAUUAACGCGUCCGUUAAUUAUUAAUUAAUGACUCAUUAAUUUUUCCUGAGCAGCAAAAAUAUAGACAACGUGCAUAGCUCUGUCCUCGGCUCAAUCCCGCAACCCGCGGCGCGGUGUGGCGAGCGAGGAGGAGGAGCGCGCGUGUAGGUCUCCUCUUCUCAUGCUCAUACAAGUGGUAGAAGAGCUCAUCUUAUAAAGAGGUGCAACUCUCUCUCAACUUAUGAGGUGGGACUAAACUUUAGCCUCGCUCACUCCAGUCACAUGUGUGCAUGAAUGGGCCAAGAGAAUUUCAGAAUUUUAGUUGGACUUUGGGCCAAAAGCCCACUAGCAAAUUCCAACACAUACAUCACCAAGUGAAUCGGCUGGCAUAGGUGAACUAGGCCAUUUUGCUUUGCUCGGUAAUAGAACAAGAGAUUCUGGGAGUUAUUGAUUCGGUAGAAUAACUUUUUCUGUGUAUUUCGUUACCAUUCUACUGACUGAAAAUCAUUUGCUUUUGUGUGAUCUGAACAAAACAGAUAUGCAUACUAGUCUUCCAGGACGGAAUGAGUUUUGAGAAGAAAAUAAAUGAUUUGCAGCUAUAUUUGAUCGGCUAUGUGCGCUGAAUUUCUGUAGUGAUGAAAGGGAUUUUUAGAGUUUCUGGUCAUCUUCGUUGAACAACAUCAGAGAUAAUUAAACUGAAAAGGGAUAUGGAGUAAUCAAAUCUUCCUUUUCGUUUAGAGAGAAGGAUUCAUGACUAAACAUGUAUUGUACUAUACAAUUUAUCUUAAAUUUGCUGUCUCAGUGUAAAAAUUUCCUAGAAGAUGGCAAAUACAGUUAUUGAAUCAUGGCAAAUUUAGU